UCCUCUUUCUUUGCUUCCCUGCAUAUGUUUAUGGUUCUUAGAGUCCUAUAUUUAGAUCUCUUUCCUUCUCAUAAUUUCAUUUUCCCCAUAUGUCUUACAGUAUCAUAUAUUAACCAGUGUGGUAAGCUGAAUAAUGGCCUCCAAAAACAUCAGGUCCUAAUUUCCGGAACCUGUAGAUGUUACCUUAUUUGGAAAAAGGAUCUUUGUGGGCAUGAUUAAGAUAAUGGUUUUGAGAUGAGGAGAUUAUCCUAGAUUAUGCUGGAUUAUCCAGAUGGGCCCUAAAAGCCAUCACUAGUGUCUCUGUUAGAAAGAGGAAGAUGGAGAUUUCUUACAGAUAACAGAGAAAAAGAUAAUGUGAGAUAGAGAUUGGAAUGAUGAGGUCACAAUACAAGAAAUGUUGCAGCCAUCAGAAGCCAGAAAAGGCAAGGGAUAGAUUCUCCCCUAGAGUCUCUGUAAGGAGCAUGGCCUCCUGACACCAUGACUGGCUCACUGGUACUGAUUUUGGACUUGUGGCCUCCAGAACUGUGACUUCUUCCAGCUCCAUGUAUCUGAAGAUAUCUUCAUCUGACGAAUCCCCUCUUUCUGCCUCCACUGUUACCACCAUGGCUUCUCUGAUCAGUGCCCAGAGCGGUAUUUCCAGUGCUUAGCAGUGUAUAAGAUGCCUGUGUCACUUCUGAGUAUGCUGACCUCCUC